rnacentral:lncRNA from 1 species
UCCUUGAAUCUACUCCAGGGACCAAAAGUAUUAAUAUCAAGUGUGAUCCUUCCAAAUCUGACUCAGCAUGGAAAUGGUUGGAAAGAUGGAUGUCUGUUUCAUCAGGAUAUCAACAGUCCCCGGAAUCAGAAUUACCUGCAGAGCAGCAGGAGAUUGAAAAUAUUGAGUACUCGAGAAAUCUUUUGGAAACAGUUCAAUUUGAAACUAAACCGGAAUCGGAAUUACCUGCAGAGCAGCGGGAGAUUGAAAAUAUUGAAUACUCGAGAAACCUUUUGGAAACAGUUCAAUUUGAAACUAAGUCAAUCAACUCCAGGGAGGCUGUAGAAGCAUCAC